GUGAUUAAAUCGAGCGUGUCUUCAUUGACCGCUCACCCUUCUCACCAUCCAAUACACCUGUGCACUGUUUAGCCUGAGCCGGUUUUCCGGUCCAGGUUAUCAUUUAUACAAACUCUAGUCUUAUGAAUGUAAACGUUUUAAUAACAUAAUA
rnacentral:misc_RNA from 1 species